rnacentral:lncRNA from 1 species
UUUUGUCUUUUUUAAUUAUAGCAACAGAAAAUUUACCAUUUUAACCAUUUUUAAGUGUACAGCUCUGUGAUAUUAAGUACAUUCACAAUAUUGUGCAGCCAUCACCAUCAUCCAUCACUACAACUUGUCAUCUUCCCAAACUGAAAUCCUGACCCCACCAAACACUAAUUCUUCGAUACCCCCACCUCCAGCCCCUAGCAACCGGCAUUCUACUUCAUGUCUCCAUGAAUUUGACUACUCUAGGGCCCUUGUGUGAGUGGCAUCAUACAGCAUUUGUCCUUUUGUGAUGCUUCCUUCACUUAGUAGAAUGUCCUCAAGUUUCGUCCAUGGUGUAGUAUGGUCAGAAUUUCCUUCCUUUUUAAAACCAAAUGAUACUUCAUGGUAUAAAUACACGACAUUUGGUUUCUCUGUUCAUUGUCAAUGGACACUUGGCUAUGAAUAUAGGUAUACAAAUAUCUCUUCAAGUCCCUGCUUCCACUUCUUUUGUGUAUAUACCCAGAAGUGAAAUUGCUGAAUCAUGGUAAUUCUAUUUUUAAACUUUGGAGUAACCACCAUACUGUUUUCCACAGCUGCUUCACCAUUUUACAUUCCCACCAACAAUGCACAAGUGUUCUAAUUCCUCCACAUCUUUAUCAACACAUCAUUUUCUGAUUUGGGGUUUUCUUUCUUUCUUGGGGUGUGUGUGCGUGUUUUUUCUUUUAAUAUAGUCAUCCUAAUGUGUGUUUUUUUGCCACACCCACACCAUGCAGAAGUUCCAGGGCCAGGAAUCAAACUCAAGCCACAGCAGUGACAACACUAGAUCCUUCUGUGUUGUGUUGUGUGUGUGUGUGUAUGCAUGUUGUCUUUUUAGGGCCACACCCGCAGCACAUGGAGGUUCCCAGGCUAGGGAUCGAAUUGGAGCUAUAGGUCCGGCCUACACCACAGCCACAGCAAUGCUGGAUCUGAGCCAUGUCUGCAGCCUACACCACAGCUCACGGCAAUGCCAGGUCCUUAACCCACUGAAUGAGGCCAGGGAUCGAACCUGCGUCCUCACGGAUACCAGUCGGGUUCUUUAACUGCUGAGCCAAGGCAGGAACUCCAACGAUGCUAGAUCCGUAACCCACUAGGCCACCAGAGAACAAGUUUUUAAUUUUGAUGAAGCCCAGUUCAUCUAUUCCUUUGUUGCCUGUGCAUUUGAUGUUAUAUUCAAGAAAUCACUGCCAAUCCGAUGUCAUGAAUUUCCCACUAUGUUUUCAUCUAAGAGUUUCGUGGUUUUAGUACUUAAGUUUAGGACUGCAAUCCAUUUUCAAUUAAGUUUUGUAUAGAUAGGGUGUGAAGUAAGGGUCCAACUUAGUUCUUUUGCAUGUGAGUAUCCAGUUUUCCCAGCACCUUUUGUUGAAAUCAGGACUGUCCUUUCGCCCAUUGAAUUAUCACUCUUGUCAAAAAUCAUUUGACCAUAUGGACAAGGAUUUAUUUCUGGGCUCUCUAUUGUAUUUCAUUGGUUUGUAUGUAUAUCUUUAUGCCAGUACCACAGUAUUGUGUUUAGCUUCAUAGUAAGUUUUGAAAUCAGGAAGUGGGAGAUUUCCAACUGAGCUCUUCUUUUUCAAGAUUGUUUUAGCUCUUCUGGACCCCUUACAAUUCCAUAUUAACUUGGGGACUGGCCUCUCCAUUUCUGCAAAAAGGGCUGUUGGAAUUUUGACAGGGAUUGUGUUGAAUCUGUAAUGUUGACAUCUUAACAACAGUAAGUCUUGUGAUACAUGAACAUGGGAUGUCUUUCCAUUUAUUUGUGUGUGGGGGGGUUGGUCUUUUUAGGGCCACACCUGCAGCAUAUGGAGGUUCCCAGGCUAGGGGUCGAAUCGGAGCUGUAGCCCCCGGCCUACGCCAGAGCCACAGCAACGCAGGAUCCGAGCCGCAUCUGCAACCUACACCACAGUUCACGGCAACACCGGAUCGCUAACCCGCUGAGCAAGGGCAGGGAUCGAACCCGCAACCUCAUGGUUCCUAGUCGGAUUCGUUAACCACUGCGUCACGACGGGAACUCCUAGAGUUCCUAAAUCUUGAUGAUUUUAUCUGACAUACGAUCAUUUUAUCUAUGAACAGAGAUAAUAUUACUUCUUCCUAAUUUGAAUGCUUUUUAUUUCUUUUUCUUCCGAGGUAUGUGGAAGUUUCUGGGCCAAGGAUCAAGCCUGUACAGCAGCAGGGACUUGAGCUGCUGCAGUGAUAACACCAGUUCUUUAACCUGCUGCACCACAAAGGAAUUCCUUGUAGUUUUCUUCUUUGCAAAGUCUCUGUCUGGCUUUUGUAUCAAGAUAAUGCUGGCUUCAUAGAAAGGAUUAGAAGUGUUCUCUCCUUGUCAGUUUCUGGGAGGAGUUUAAGAAAGAUUGGUGGUAAUUUUUCUUUAAAAGUAUGAUGGGGUUCCCGUCGUGGCUCAGUGGAAACGAAUCUGACUAGUAUCCAUGAGGACACAGGUUCGAUCCCUGGCCUCACUCAGUGGGUUAAGGAUCUGGUGUUGCUGUGAGCUGUGGUAUAGGCCAGCAGCUAUGGCUCUGAUUCGACCCCUAGCCUUGUAAUUUCCAUAUGCCGUGGGUAUGACCCUAAAAAGACAAAAAAAAAAAAAA